rnacentral:rRNA from 1 species
AGUGAACGCUGGCGGUAGGCCUAACACAUGCAAGUCGAACGGCAGCACAGUAAGAGCUUGCUCUUACGGGUGGCGAGUGGCGGACGGGUGAGGAAUACAUCGGAAUCUACUUUUUCGUGGGGGAUAACGUAGGGAAACUUACGCUAAUACCGCAUACGACCUACGGGUGAAAGCAGGGGAUCUUCGGACCUUGCGCGAUUGAAUGAGCCGAUGUCGGAUUAGCUAGUUGGCGGGGUAAAGGCCCACCAAGGCGACGAUCCGUAGCUGGUCUGAGAGGAUGGGGAGCCACACUGGAAGUGAGACACGGUCCAGACUCAGACGGGAGGCAGCAGUGCGGAAUGUUGGACAAGGGCCGCAGGGCUGAACCAGCCAUACCGCGGGGGUGAAGAAGGCCGUCGGGUUGCAAAGCCCUUUUGUUGGGAAAGAAAAGCAGCAGGUUAAUACCCCGCUGGCCUGACGGUACGCAAAGAAUAAGCACCGGCUAACUUCGUG